AAUAUUACUUUUUGUUGAAAAGCAUGACAUCAAAUCCUAUAAAUUUGGCUUUUUGGGAAAAUUAAUUAUUCAAACAUUGUAUAAAAAAAAAUGUUCUUCCUUGGCUCCACGAUCUUCCAAAGGAUGCCAAGAACAAAUACAAGUGCAUACGUAGUCAUAAAGUGAACGCCCCCACGAAAAUAUUCAAUCCUUGUAAUAUAUUGGCCAGGUUUAGCACGGGGGCACAAAAUCCUGCUAAAUCGGAGGUCAAGCUACAGAUUUAUUUAUUCAGAGCAGUGACAUAUGCACACAAACAAACUCUGCAUCGGCAAUUAACAGUAUCGGCUGCAACAGCUGAUCUUCCCUUCUGUUCUGUUAGAGGAUCCAAAGGCCCUGAUUUCCUUAAAUAAUGGACUACUAAACUUUAGACCCUGUCGGUGGUCGGCCACGUUGCCUAUUACCCACGACAAAGUCUCCACCUGUUACUUGUUCCACUUGUUUUCGUGCUUAGGAAUUACAAUCCAUCUUCUCCACUCAAUAGAGUAGGCACGAUGGAGUUAAGUGGCCAAUCAUACCCACAUUAUUAAAUGUAUGUAGAGCCGGUGCGGAAUUGAAAAAAAUGCAAAAUUGGAGUUGGAUUUCCGCUCUAAGUGGGUUGAUUUGAUCCAAUUCCACAAAAUAAGAAAUAAGGGAACGAUUUAUGUAUGUAGGGUAUGAAGCAAGGAAUCUGAAAUUGGAGGGCAGGGGUGAUGUGACAAGCACCGACGAAAGUGAGUGAAAAUUGAAAAGCAUGAGCCACGAGCUUCCACCCAAGACGAGGCUAGGGCCGUAGGAGUAGUAGCUUUAUUGUUAAUGUUGGGUGUGGCAAACAACACCAUCCGACAAUCCCGGCAGAUCCAGAAAACAAUAGCAGCCACCACUAGUUUUCAACUUUCUAUGGCAACGUGGCAGAAAAAGAACCGGCGGCAUUCUGCACCCAGACCAACACCACUUUUGAUCAGAUCAUAUGCCUUCUUACGUUGUCGAGUACCGCAAUGGUCAUGUGUAUAAAUUUCCCAUUUUUAUCUCCAAAUAUUGACUUGUUAAGCACAGAAGCCCGCACUAAUUAAUCUCGACUAUGCUUCCAAAAAUCUUUGUUAUGUGAGAUUUGAUUCCUACUCGGACUUAGCUUUCAACAUGAGAUGUUGCUUUCA